rnacentral:rRNA from 1 species
UACGGGGGGAGCAAGCGUUGUUCGGAUUUACUGGGCGUAAAGGGCGCGUAGGCGGUCGUGACAAGUCACUUGUGAAAUCUCCGGGCUUAACUCGGAACGGUCAAGUGAUACUGUCGGACUAGAGUACAGAAGGGGCAACUGGAAUUCUCGGUGUAGCGGUGAAAUGCGUAGAUAUCGAGAGGAACACCGGUGGCGAAGGCGGUGCUCUGGGCCAGUACUGACGCUGAGGAGCGAAAGCGUGGGUAGCAAACAGG